AAGCCUUUGCGGCAUGGGAUGGGGUCGCGUCCUAUCAGCUUGAUGGCGGGGUAACGGCCCACCAUGGCUUCGACGGGUAGCCGGCCUGAGAGGGCGACCGGCCACAUUGGGACUGAGAUACGGCCCAGACUCCUACGGGAGGCAGCAGUGGGGAAUAUUGCACAAUGGGCGCAAGCCUGAUGCAGCGACGCCGCGUGAGGGAUGGAGGCCUUCGGGUUGUAAACCUCUUUUGUUAGGGAGCAAGGCACUUUGUGUUGAGUGUACCUUUCGAAUAAGCACCGGCUAACUACGUGCCAGCAGCCGCGGUAAUACGUAGGGUGCAAGCGUUAUCCGGAAUUAUUGGGCGUAAAGGGCUCGUAGGCGGUUCGUCGCGUCCGGUGUGAAAGUCCAUCGCUUAACGGUGGAUCCGCGCCGGGUACGGGCGGGCUUGAGUGCGGUAGGGGAGACUGGAAUUCCCGGUGUAACGGUGGA
rnacentral:rRNA from 1 species